rnacentral:rRNA from 1 species
GUGUCAGCAGCCGCGGUAAUACGGAGGGAGCUAGCGUUGUUCGGAAUUACUGGGCGUAAAGCGCGCGUAGGCGGCUUUGUAAGUUAGAGGUGAAAGCCCGGGGCUCAACCCCGGAACAGCCUUUAAGACUGCAUCGCUAGAAUCCGGGAGAGGUGAGUGGAAUUCCGAGUGUAGAGGUGAAAUUCGUAGAUAUUCGGAAGAACACCAGUGGCGAAGGCGGCUCACUGGACCGGCAUUGACGCUGAGGUGCGAAAGCGUGGGGAGCAAACAGGAUUAGAAACCCCUGUAGUCC